UCAUAAAAUUUUGUUUCUCUCCCACUGUGUUAAUCUACUACCUGCAUUACGUUUCUUUCCGUCUCUUUACUUAGCAAACAUGAAAGUAAAAUGGAAAAUCGUGGAGCUUGAGAAAGGGGUUGCAAAAUCUGCAUAGAAAGUAAAAACACAGCAGGGUUUGCAAUAAGACGACCAGGUAAGUGCAACUAGGGUAAGGACGUGAUAGUAUCAGCCAUUAUGCAUUUGUGUUAUCCCUUUCUCUUAGUCGUGGCGCUUUAAUGUUUUUAGGAAAAAGGGAGAGUUUAAUGUGCUUCGAAUCCAGUACACACAGGAAUGUAUAAAUAAGAAGUGGGGUGAAUGAAAUCUCUCCUUUCCUUUUUUCUCUUUCAAAUGUGAAAGAGAAAAUGAAAACAGGUGUCAUGGAGUUAAGGCCUUUUUAUGUAAGCCAUUCUUCUUAAGAUAUUGUGUUCUAUUGCGAAGAUCAAGUCUUGUGCUAAUGAUUUGCCAAAUGGGAAACCUAAAAUAAAUCUAAAGUGGAAUGUAUUCACUUCAAAUCACUCUGGCACAUCCACCAAUUCCGACAGAGAAGCAACAACUGAACACACCUUUUUCUUGAUACAGACUUGUUUGAAAUUCAUUACUGGUUACGUUUACAACUAGGAUGUGGCAGCCUCCCAUUACCUAUUGCAAUUCUAUACUUUUUUUUGGCUAUUGCUGGAGGCAUCUUUGCCAUUUAGAGAUUUGGGCGUCAAUUGCCGUAGACGAUUUAGGGAUUCUGAAGGAUGUUUGUCAUGCCUAUCACAAACUAGUCACGGGGUUCAUUGAAUUGCCAAACAACGCGCGUCGUUCUUGCUACAUCUAUUUAGAUUUUUGGCUAAUGCUACACCAAGAUUUAAAAAGAAACCAUGUGGAUCAAGAAUCCAACCCAAAACAUUCCCGUAGGCGAAUUACUAUCAAAAACUUUAAGUGAUUGUGGAACCAAUUGGCAUUUGUUAAUUGAAAUAACAUUAACCGACAGAAGACAUAGAUGAUUUUCCUAAUAUAAAUCAGACUCAAGAGCAUUCUUCGCUUUACAUCGUGUCGCAAGAAAACAUGCAGUGGAUUCAGCAAAAUUCUAUAAAAAACUAAGAACAAGAUAAAGCUUACGGUCACGCUGAAGACGUCCAUCCCGAACUAAAACAACUCACGGCACGAUUUGAACGCAAUGAUAACACAGCGCCCAAUAGAGUUAAUGGCAUCUUUCGGCUUGGGGGUGAACCACUGUUGAUUUUCUGUACCAAUCAAAUCAUCGUCGCAUUGCGAUCGAGUUCCUGUUUUAAUCAAACGGCUCUCCGUUGUUCAAACGGUCGUUCUUGUUCGUGAUCGAAUCCAAGGGCGUGCAUAAGUUCGUGAGUCACUGUCGCACGGUUAACGCAUGCGCCGUCAAGACUCAAUUCCUGCGCGUUUCCAGCUCUCCCUUUUAGUGACCAGCAGCUAAUUAAAGCAAAUUUACAUGGUCAUACCCGGGAUUGUUUUGCUGUCCGCUCGUCGAUUCUCGGCUUCGAAUAAUUUUCACGUAGUCCUUUUGAGUGCCGCGUGCCACGAAACGAAUGCAAGUCAUUUGGUGGUACAUUGCCAUAGCGGACGCGAUGAUUCGACGAUCUUCCGCCG